rnacentral:rRNA from 1 species
AAUGAACGUUGGCGGCGUGGAUUAGGCAUGCAAGUCGAGCGAGAACCCCGCAAGGGGGGACAGCGGCAAACGGCGUAGUAAGGCGUAGGUACGUGCCCCCGGGUCUGGGAUAGCCAAGGGAAACUUUGGGUAAUACCGGAUACUCUCGCGAGAGCAAGGGUGUGACGCCGCCUGGGGAGUGGCUUACGUGGUAUUAGCUUGUUGGUGAGGUAACGGCUCACCAAGGCAACGAUGCCUAGGGGGUGUGAGAGCACGACCCCCACGACUGGGACUGAGAUACUGCCCAGACACCUACGGGUGGCUGCAGUCGAGAAUCUUCGGCAAUGGGCGCAAGCCUGACCGAGCGACGCCGCGUGUGGGAUGAAGGCCCUUGGGUUGUAAACCACUGUCAGAGGGGAUGAAGUGCACGGGGGUACUCCCUCGUGUUUGACAUAGCCUCAGAGGAAGCACGGGCUAAGUUCGUGCCAGCAGCCGCGGUAA